rnacentral:rRNA from 1 species
UACGAGGGGGGCAAGCGUUGUUCGGAAUUAUUGGGCGUAAAGGGUGCGUAGGCGGUCUGAUAAGUCAUCUGUGAAAUCUAUGGGCUCAACCCAUAGUCUGCAGGCGAGACUGUCGGGCUUGAGUAUGGGAGAGGUGAGUGGAAUUUCCGGUGUAGCGGUGAAAUGCGUAGAUAUCGGAAGGAACACCUGUGGCGAAAGCGGCUCACUGGACCAUUACUGACGCUGAUGCACGAAAGCUAGGGGAGCAAACAGG